AACGAACGCUGGCGGCAUGCCUAACACAUGCAAGUCGAACGAGACCUUCGGGUCUAGUGGCGCACGGGUGCGUAACGCGUGGGAACCUGCCCUUAGGUUCGGAAUAACUCCCCGAAAGGGGUGCUAAUACCGGAUAAUGUCUUCGGACCAAAGAUUUAUCGCCUUUGGAUGGGCCCGCGUUGGAUUAGCUAGUUGGUAGGGUAAAAGCCUACCAAGGCGACGAUCCAUAGCUGGUCUGAGAGGAUGAUCAGCCACACUGGGACUGAGACACGGCCCAGACUCCUACGGGAGGCAGCAGUGGGGAAUAUUGGAAAAUGGGCGAAAGCCUGAUCCAGCAAUGCCGCGUGAGUGAUGAAGGCCUUAGGGUUGUAAAGCUCUUUUACCCGGGAUGAUAAUGACAGUACCGGGAGAAUAAGCUCCGGCUAACUCCGCG
rnacentral:rRNA from 1 species